rnacentral:rRNA from 1 species
UACGUAGGGCGCAAGCGUUAUCCGGAAUUAUUGGGCGUAAAGAGCUCGUAGGCGGUUUGUCGCGUCUGCCGUGAAAGUCCGGGCUCAACUCCGGAUCUGCGGUGGGUACGGGCAGACUAGAGUGAUGUAGGGGAGACUGGAAUUCCUGGCGUAGCGGUGAAAUGCGCAGAUAUCAGGAGGAACACCGAUGGCGAAGGCAGGUCUCUGGGCAUUAACUGACGCUGAGGAGCGGAAAGCAUGGGGAGCGAACAGG